UACGAAGGGGGCUAGCGUUGUUCGGAGUUACUGGGCGUAAAGGGCGCGUAGGUGGUUAUUUAAGUUGGAUGUGAAAUCCCUGGGCUUAACCUAGGAACUGCAUACAAGACUGGAUAGCUAGAGUACUGUAGAGGGUAGUGGAAUUUCCGGUGUAGCGGUGAAAUGCGCAGAUAUCAGGAGGAACACCGGUGGCGAAGGCGGAUCUCUGGGCCUUGCCUGACGCUGAGGCGCGAAAGCUAGGGGAGCGAACAGG
rnacentral:rRNA from 1 species